rnacentral:rRNA from 1 species
AGCACCGAAUCCCGCGGUCGUAUCGAUCGCCGGGAAAUGUGGUGUUAGGAAGGAUCCGUUAUCUUCGUGCACGUCGACUCGUCCAAGUCCAUCUUGAACGGGGCCACAACCCAUAGAGGGUGCCAGGCCCGUAGGACGGCGACGGUCGCGGAGAGGGUCACUUCCGAGAGUCGGGUUGCUUGAGAGUGCAGCCCUAAGUGGGUGGUAAACUCCAUCUAAGGCUAAAUAUGACCACGAGACCGAUAGCGAACAAGUACCGCGAGGGAAAGUUGAAAAGAACUUUGAAGAGAGAGUUCAAUAGUACGUGAAACCGUUCAGGGGUAAACCUGAGAAACCCGAAAGGUCGAACGGAGAGAUUCAUUCGCGGUACGGUCGUACGUCCGUCGCGUCGGGAUGACGUGUCGCUUUAACGAGCGAUUCGCCCCUUCUCGUCGGAUCGGUACGUCGAACGCGUGCACUUCUCUCCAAGUAGGACGUCGCGAUCCGUUGGGUGCCGGUCGAAGGUUUCGUGAGGAAGCCCGCGAACGCGAUGCAAAUCGAAGUUUACGGACCUACGUUAUCCUGUCCGGCCGCCCGACGGUAUACAGACGGUGAGAGACCGCGAUCGUUCGCGCCCGGUCGAUCGCAAACACGCUUUACGCGUCGGCUCUCGGAAUUACCGCCGAAGCUGGCCUCUAGCGGUUGUUGGCGGUCGUUUUCUCGGGCAGAUCUCUUGUGUUUUAACCGAUCUGCGACGCUACAGCUUUGGGUACUCUCAGGACCCGUCUUGAAACACGGACCAAGGAGUCCAGCGUGUGCGCGAGUCAUUGGGUCCGACUAAACCUAAAGGCGUAAUGAAAGUAAAGAUCCGUCAGGAUCUAGGGAAGAUGACCGACCCUUUACGGUCGGUCCGCACUCCCGGGGUGUCUCG